AGAUAUUAAAACUUGUUAUAUAAAAAUUUAAAUUAAAAUAAUUUUCAAUAAAUGUUCAAUAAUAAGAAACUAAUUUUGUUUUAUAUAUAAAACAGUUAAUAAGCUUGUUGAAUAAAUUAUAAGUAGAAAAAUCAGAUUUUUAUUUAUAUAAAAUUUGUAUUAAUUAAUUUUUUUCUUUGAGUACUUUAGUAUUUGUUUUUUUUAUUUUAAAGUGUUUAAUGUAAAAAUGAUCACAUUACUUAAUGUUUUUAAGUUGUAGGUCAAAAACUCGAAAACAUUAAGUAAAAAGAAUUAUACAUAAAAUCAUUUAAAUC
rnacentral:rRNA from 1 species